rnacentral:rRNA from 1 species
GAUGAACGCUGGCGGCGUGCCUAAUACAUGCAAGUCGAGCGAACAGACGAGGAGCUUGCUCCUCUGACGUUAGCGGCGGACGGGUGAGUAACACGUGGAUAACCUACCUAUAAGACUGGGAUAACUUCGGGAAACCGGAGCUAAUACCGGAUAAUAUAUUGAACCGCAUGGUUCAAUAGUGAAAGACGGUUUUGCUGUCACUUAUAGAUGGAUCCGCGCCGCAUUAGCUAGUUGGUAAGGUAACGGCUUACCAAGGCAACGAUGCGUAGCCGACCUGAGAGGGUGAUCGGCCACACUGGAACUGAGACACGGUCCAGACUCCUACGGGAGGCAGCAGUAGGGAAUCUGCCGCAAUGGGCGAAAGCCUGACGGAGCAACGCCGCGUGAGUGAUGAAGGGCUUCGGAUCGUAAAACUCUGUUAUUAGGGAAGAACAAAUGUGUAAGUAACUAUGCACGUCUUGACGGUACCUAAGCAGAAAGCCACGGCUAACUACGU